GGUCUCAGGUGGAGGUGGAUGGAGUUGUCCUCAGUCUGGCUCACGGCUCUCAGAGCGGCACUGUGGCUCUGCUGCUGGAGGACGGACAGAUCCGGAAGCUCCUCUACAAUGUUCCUGAUCCCUCAGUGGAGGAAUGGAGGGAUUCCAGCGGAUGUCUCAUCAGCUUCCCGGUUCCCUGCGUCCAGACGGCGCUCUGCAGCAUCAGUGGGGAGGAACAUCUGCUCGGGCUGACGGACAGAUCCCACCUGUACGUCGGAGACACUGAGCUGGCCUCCAAUAUUUCCUCUUUCGCCGUCUGCAACGACUUCCUGCUCAUCACCACACACUCACACACCUGCCGCUGCCUCCACCUGAACACUCUCACUGUCAAAGGUAGG